AUCACGUCAGGUUUUUUUUUUUUUUUUUUCUAUGUUUUUAAGUGGGAGCUUCAAAGAAAAUAGUAAAUAAAAGGAAGUAUAUUAAACUGUCUAAAUUAAAGGAGACGUUGGCAAAGAAAAACUCUCACAGAGCUGAAAGAGUCGAAGCGGGCUGUGAACAGCAUCCUGGUGAAUGAUAAUGAAGAUGAUGAUGAGAGAGUCAGCUGGAGUGGGGAACCUGCUGGAAGCAUCUCUUGGUCGGUGAAGGAAACCGCCUCCAGUAUCCGCUCAGGCAGCGAGCUGAGCUUUCCCAAAAUAGACACCUCUCUGUCAUUGUCUAAACAGGGUCUGGAUACUCCCUGAGCUCCCUGUUUAAAGGAUCUUGUCAGUGACCUGAGAAGAAUGCAGAAAGGACGGGUAGGGGGCAGCAAAGAGCUUUAUAUAGAGAGUACUGAUACUGUAAAUACAAGAUGUACAACACUAGAAGGUCAGUGUAAAGGUGAAGUCAGGAGAUCUAAUAUCUUUGAAUAAAGCCAUUUAGUUAAUUCUCAGUUUCAGUAGGUGCAGGCCCCUUUCUUUUUCAUUUUAUAUUUUUAAAAUAUAUCUGCUGUCAUAUAGCAAAAUAUCAGUCACAUAAUUUUAUUUUGCUUACAAAAAGGAUUCCGUCAUAAUAUAUGGCUACAUUUGAAUGGCUGUAAAUGGUAAAAUAUGCUUUUCUCAUCUAAUUAAAAUGAUUCUUUCACAGGUUUUGUUCUCUAGAAAACUUCUGCUGCUAGAUGAAGCCGUUGCAGUUUAUGAUGGCACCCUCAUAACUGCUGUGAGCCGCACAUCUCUCUCACACCCUAUAUUGAGCCACUGCUAUGACUUUAUGAGGGUUCAUAUCAGUAGGAACAGCUUGUGCUUACUAACUGACAUUUAACAUUUUCCUACUGCAGGUCUUGAUAUAUUUAAAAAAGUGAGAUUUACUGUGAUCUGUCAUUGCUCACCAGUUCCUUCUCCUUCUCUUGUUUUCACAAUAAGUACAAUAUUUUUUAGAAAGUAUUUUUAUUUUUGCAGAAAUUCUCUUUCGAGAGUUAAUGGCGAGAGAUGUGGCUUUGCGUCAUUGCGUGCAUUAUUUAAAAGAAAUGGGACAACAAAAGCUUUUGGUUGAGUUGCUGAAGGCUCUUGGCAGGACAGAAGAUAUGGCGCCUUCCUUUCUCACAAGAUGAUGCCUCUCAUGUUCAAGACCACUGACUAUACACUCCUCGAGAGACAAAUAAUCAUGGAGAGUGGUGGACAUUCUGCAGAAGAACAGCGCACCUGUAAACGUACGCCAGUUUCCAUGAUGUAAUAAACCUGCUCAGUCUCCUCACACGUGCUUCCCCAUGAUCUGAAUACAGGAAGGUCCAGGAACUCCUCAAUUACACGCAAAUCAGAUGGAAAAACUGACAGUUGGAAAGAGUGACACGAGGCAGUGGUGGGCAGAUGUGUGUCAGAGCUCUUUCAUUGACAGUGUUACACAAAAAACACUAGAAAGCUGCUUAAUAUGGAGUUAAUUCUGAACAAACAGGAAUGAGAUCCUCACAGCCAUUGAACAAUUCAAAGAACCAGUGGAGCGAGUCAUUCAGAGUGAUUCUUUCACAAAUGCAUCUGUUCUGUAUGAUCAAACUGCCAACUCUACAGCUGAACAUUUCUAAAGGAAGGCUUUUACUGGUGGCUGACGUGAAGAGCGUACUAUUUCACCACUCGCAUCUUUGUUAGCACGUGUAUGUUUCUGACACUCUUUUUAUUUUAGUUUAAAAAUAAUAUGAUACUGAACGGUUUAUAACAGUAAUACUGUUUAUAUUAGCAUACCGGUUUUCUGGUAAAUAUCUGACUGUAGAUAUGAAGAAGAUAAAAGCUGUGAAAGUUGUUUCAACAGUACAGAAUUUGACACAAUUACAGGGUAAACUCACAGUUUCUGUAAGUGGAGGCAGAUUAAUAACCACAAACGAGUGCACAGCCGCAGAAUGAGCCAGGAAGUUCCCACACUGUGUCGUUUUGAACCAUGAUGUAAACUGUGCAUCACAUAACCUUUUUCAUUGGAUUUCCACAAGUUUUGGUUCUUCUAGAAUCGUUGUGUGUACUCUAUACAUCUUAAAUUCAGAGCUAUUUGUGAAGCCAUUAAUGGUUUCCAGAAAAAAUCUAUAAACUCAUAUUAAUGAAAAACAGUAGAAAACACGUUUAGAAACUGAAUUCAAAGUGUCAUAUUUAUGAACCAAUAUAGUAGAUUUGACAUCCCAUUAUACAUUUUUAAGUUGGCGCUACCAAAUUCACACUUACUUUCAGUUCAUUUGCAAGACAUUUAUAAUGUUCCAAAAAUAUGUCAGAGAAUCUUGAAAAAAAAAAAAGGUUUUCACAGAAAUAUUAAGCAGCACAACUGUUUUUUUACAUUACUAAUGGCAAGAAAUGUUUCCUGAGCAGCAAAUCAGCAUAUAAGACUGAUUUCUGAAGGAUCAUGUGACACAGAAGACUGCAGUAAUGAUGCUGAAAAUACAGCUUUAAAACACAAGAGAAAAAGAAAACGCCAUUUUAAAAUAUAUUCAAAUUAUCACAAUUUCAUUAAAAAUGGUAAUGUUUCACAGUAUUUUUUGAUGAAAUAGUUGAUGAGCAAAUUAAACUUCUUCCAAAAAGAAAUCAAUAAAAAAAUUAAAUCAAUUACAAAGCCCAAACUUUUUCUUGGUAUAGUGUAUAUUUCUUAUAAACACCAAGACUAGGUCCAGAUCCAGCCCAAGACUUGUCCAGGUACAAACCUGUCUCAAAAAUAGACAAUUUUGCACAAUUUAUUGCAACAAAAUGCAUUUUAUUUGAUUUGUACUUCUUUUUUUUAAUCAAAAUGCAUUUUAAUUUCAUUAUGUUUAUAUAUUGUCUUUUUAAAUUAUUAGCUAAAUCCAAAAAUAUCAUUUGAUAAUAAUAGUAAAAAAAUAUGUAUUUAAAGAUUCUAAACCUUUGUAUCAGGUUAUGAAAUUACAACUCUUACAAAUUUCAUAUAGACUAAGGUGCCCAGAAAAGGUGGAGAUGUCUUUCUACAACAAUGUGGGAUCAUGAAAAAAAAAAUAAUUAAUAAUAAUUAAUAAUGAUCACUUUUCGUUUACUAGAAAUCCGUACACACAGACAUUUCAUGGCAAUAUUCAUAGUAUGCUGUUCGGUUUAAUCUUUAUUGCCUUGUCCAAACACCCACACCUACUUUUUUUUUUUUGCCACUUGAGGCCGCGUGCCCCCGACAGGAAGAAUGUGCACAAGACUGUCCAAAUCUUACAACCGCCAAUGCACAGUGCCCUAGAUUUUAUUGAAGUAUGUUUUUGGCCAGAUACAAAAUUUGCUAAGUAUCUGUACUUUCACUUGAGAAAAAUUGUGAGUACUUCUACACCUCUGCUUGAACCAGAUACAGGAAAUAGCUUAUGUCAUAGAAGUGGUCAGGUGCGUGUGGGUAUUUGGGCAAGGCUCGUUUUCUUCGUGUUUCCUUUUUUAGAACAUCAGGCCUGUGUUUGUUUUGUCUGUUUUCAAUAUGUAUAUGUGUUAAUGCUGAUUUUUUUUUUAGACCAGCUGAAAUAUUCUUCAUAUAAAUUUUAUUUCCUGGAGGAGGAUGCUGGCUUUUCAUUGUAGGCUAUUAAAAUAACUGGUUCAGGUUCAUUUUACUAUAAGCAUGAGCCCCGUCAGACUGGUCGUGGCGGAGGUGUUGCAACAAUAUAUAGCGAUAUUCUCAAUGUUACCCAGAAAACAGGAUACAAGUUUAACUCAUUCUAAAUACUUCGGCUAAAUGUUACACUGUCAGACAUGCAAAAUAAAUCUAAUGUAUCUCUUGCUAUGGCUACUGUGUAUAGACCACCAGGGCCGUAUAUAGAAUUCCUAAAAGAAUGUACAGAUUUCCUCUCAGACCUUCUAGUUACAGUUGAUAAGGCGCUAAUCAUGGGAGAUUUUAAUAUUCACGUUGAUGAUACAAAUGCAUUAGGACUUGCGUUUACUGACCUAAUAAACUCUUUUGGAGUCGAGCAAAAUGUCACCGGGCCCACUCAUCGUUUUAAUCAUACACUAGAUUUAAUUAUAUCUCAUGGAAUCGAUCUUACUGCUAUAGAUAUUGUACCUCAAAGUAAUGAUAUUACAGACCAUUUCCUUGUAUCGUGCAUGCUGCGUAUCACUGAUAUUAACUAUAUGUCGCAGCGAUACCGUCUGGGCAGAACUAUUGUUUCAGCCACCAAAGAAAGAUUAGCAAAUAACCUGCCUGAUCUAUCUCAACUGCUAUCUGUACCCAAAAAUACACAUGAAUUAGACGAAAUGACUGACAACAUGAGCACUAUUUUCUCUAAUACAUUAGAAGCUGUUGCCCCUAUCAAAUUUAAAAAGGUUAGAGAAAAACGUACUGUGCCAUGGUAUAACAGUAAUACUCACUCUCUCAAGAAAGUAACUCGAAGUCUUGAACGCUAAUGGAGAAAAACUAACUUGAAGUAUGUCCAGCUAUAGACAGGCUCUAAAAACUGCUUGGGCAGAGCAUAUCCACAAACUCAUAGAAAACCAAAACAAUCCAAGGUUUUUAUUUAGCACAGUGGCUAAGUUAACAAAUUACCAGACGCCACCUGAUUCAAAUAUUCCACCAACAUUUAAUAGUAAUGACUUUAUGAAUUUCUUCACUGAUAAAAUAGAUCAUAUUAGAAAUACAAUAGCGAAUGUAGAUUCUACAGCGUCUAACACUUCAGUUUUAUCCAUCGCACCCAAAGAUAAACUGCAGUGCUUUACAACUAUAGGACAGGAAGAGCUAAAUAAACUUAUCACUGUAUCUAAACCAACAACAUGUUUAUCAGAUCCUGUACCCACUAAAUUACUGAAAGAGCUGUUACCUGUAGCCGAAGAAGAGCUUCUCGAUAUUAUUAACUCGUUGUUAUCUUUAGGUCACGUCUCAAAACCAUUCAAGCUGGUGGUUAUUAAGCCUCUUAUUAAGAAACCAAAACUAGCUCCUAGUGAACUGGCAAAUUAUAGGCCCAUUUCAAAUCUUCCAUUUAUGUCUAAAAUGUUAGAAAAAGUUGUGUCUUCUCAAUUGAGCACCUUCCUGCACAAAAAGAUCUGUAUGAAGAAUUUCAGUUAGGUUUCAGGCCCCACCAUAGUACAGAAACUGCACUUUUUAAAAUUACAAAUGACCUGCUCCUUGCGUCGGAUCAAGGCUGCAUCUCAUUUCUAGUCUUACUUGAUCUUAGUGCUGCAUUCGACACAAUAGAUCACGACAUACUCAUAGAUCGAUUACAAAACUAUACAGGUAUUCAAGGGCAGGCUCUAAGAUGGUUUAGAUCCUACCCAUCCGAUCGCUACCAUUUUGUUUACUUAAAUGGGGAGUCAUCUCAUUUAUCAUCAGUAAAAUAUGGAGUGCCACAAGGAUCCGUCCUAGGUCCCCUUCUAUUUUCAAUAUACUGUACAUGUUGCCCCUUGGUAAUAUUAUUAGAAAAUACGGAAUUAGCUUCCACUGUUAUGCUGAUGAUACUCAGCUAUAUAUCUCAACGAGACCAGAUGAAACGUCUAAAUUGUCUAAGCUAACAGAGUGUGUUAAAAUUGUAAAAGGAUGACCAAUAAUUUUCUCCAAUUUAAUUCGGAUAAGCCAGAGAUAUUAAUUAUUGGACCAAAAAACACUAAAAAAAUUUUGUAGAUUACAAUCUGUAACUAGACGGGUGUACUGUUAGUUCUUUUACAGUCAAAAAUCUGGGUGUUAUAUUAGACAGCAACUUGUCUUUUGAAAAUCAUAUUUCCCAUGUUACAAAAACUGCAUUCUUCCAUCUUAGAAACAUUGCCAAGCUACGAAACAUGUUAUCUGUUUCUGAUGCAGAAAAGCUAUUUCAUGCAUUUAUGACCUCUAGACUGGACUAUUGAAAUGCACUUCUAGGUGGUUGUCCUGCUUCUUCAAUAAACAAGCUACAGGUAGUCCAGAUGCAGCAGCUAGAGUCCUUACAUGGUCAAGAAAAUAUGAUCAUAUUACCCCAAUUUUACAGUCUCUGCACUGGCUACCUAUUAAGUUAUCAGGUAUCAGUGAUAUCAGUUACAAAUUAUCAUUACUUAAGGCCCUAAAUGGUUUAACUCCUGCUUACUUAACUAGCCUUCUACCACGCUACAAUCCAUCACGCUCCCUAAGGUCACAAAACGCUUGACUUUUGGAAGUUCCUAGGAUAGCUAGGAGAGCUUUUUCACAUUUUGCUCCCAAACUCUGGAAUAGCCUUCCUGAUUAUGUUCGCGGUUCAGACACAAUCUCUCUGUUUAAAUCUAGAUUAAAAACACUUCUCUUUCACCAAGCAUUCGAAUAAUGUAUCUCUUAAAUUGUGAGUGUAGUUGCAUCUGAUCGAAUGUGCAUUUUUAUUCUUUAGCUUGGGUUAAAGUAAUUAAUUUUACUUUGUUGGAUCAGCAGCUAUGCUAAUGAUGUCUCUAUUUUGUUUCUAUGUUAUGCCACAGGAUUUACAUCCCAUGGUAACUAGGAUUUACACAAGCUGCAGUCUGGAUCCAGAACACAGAAGAGAUGAUGCUGACCCUCAGAGGACCUCAGAUGAUGCUAACCCUGAGUCAACAAACAGAACUAACAAAUAUUGCUACAAGUGUGACUGCAUCAUAUAAUAAUUAUUGAUAAUAUUAAUAAUGUUCAUCAUCUGGCUGACUACGUCUUGCAUGAAUUUUUCUACAAAUUCUGUCAUACGUGCACAAACUGACAGUCACCAC